rnacentral:rRNA from 2 species
UACGAAGGUGGCGAGCGUUGUUCGGAUUCACUGGGCAUAAAGGGCGCGUAGGCGGUGCCGUAAGCGGCGUGUGAAAUCCCAGGGCUCAACCCUGGGGCUGCGCGCCGUACUGCGGUGCUUGAGUGCGGGAGGGGGGUGUGGAACUCUAGGUGGAGCGGUGAAAUGCGUAGAUAUCUAGAGGAACACCGGUGGCGAAAGCGACACCCUGGCCCGCAACUGACGCUGAGGCGCGAAAGCGUGGGUAGCAAACAGG